CAAUAGCGUAUAUUAAAGUUGUUGCGGUUAAAAGCUCGUAGUUGGAUUUCUGUUGAGGACGACCGGUCCGCCCUCUGGGUGAGUAUCUGGCUCGGCCUUGGCAUCUUCUUGGAGAACGUAACUGCACUUGGCUGUGUGGUGCGGUAUCCAGGACUUUUACUUUGAGGAAAUUAGAGUGUUUCAAGCAGGCGUACGCCUUGAAUACAUUAGCAUGGAAUAAUGAGAUAGGACCUUGGUUCUAUUUUGUUUGGUUUCUUAGAGCUGAGGUAAUGAUUAAUAGGGAUAGUUGGGGGCGAUUCGUAUUUAAUUGUCAGAGGUGAAAUU
rnacentral:rRNA from 1 species